UGUAGUAUAGUAUCUACAGUACAUUGAUAAUUAAUAAUUAUGAUACAUCACUGAGUUAGUUCUAAGUUUGCUACUCAUAUUUUCAAUAUACGAUACAGCUCUAUCUUUAAAAAAUUAUGUUUGAUACAAGUACAUGAAGUGAUACUUUUGUGUAAUAUGGCCAAAUCGUACACAAACAUAUUUAAUGAGAGUGCACAUGUUUACUAUUCGCAUAGGUGUACUUAUUCCCUACAAAUCUAUAUAACUAUCUUUAUUAAUAUUUGUAGACAACUUGCGAGUACUCUAUUAGUCCCUAUGAGAGUAAAUUGACAAGGAGACAGCUGUUCAAAGACUCAGAAACUACACUUGUGCAGUUUAGCCCUCAACUUUUCAAGCUGUGAUGUAGGACUAUCAAAAGGGCAGUGUCGCCUCAAUGGACAUUUGAAGACGUUAGACUUAGCAGAUAAUACAGCCUGCAGAUUCUGUUGUGCAGAGAACAAAACCUCUAUCCAUAUUCUCUCGAAGUGUGAAACACUACAUAACUCCAGAGCACUACACUUGGGAGUCUAUGAAACAGAAGACGAAGAUAUCUGGCAGCUAGAGCCAUACCAUAUUCUGAACUUUCCAAGAAAAGGAAAAUUAAUAGAUUAGCUUUAAGCACUGAGGAUCUCCAGUAUUGCAAUAAUAAAGGGGGACACAAUAGAUCCUUUGAGUCGAGGCGUAUAUGAUACUCUAAUAUAUGCGUACAUACAUGGAUUUAUCUAUAUGUUCAGUUUGUAUUUUUUCGAAUUUAAUAAAUCACUGUCGUUUGUCUU